CAGACAGGAAAUGGGGUGAGGACACAGACAGCCCCAAACAGGAAAUGAAGUCAGGACACAGAGUUCCAGACAGGAAAUGAGGUCAGGACACAGAACGUUCCAGACAGGAAAUGGGGUCAUGACACAGUGUUCCAGAUAGGAAAUGGGGUGAGGACAGAGAGUGUUCCUGACAGGAAAUGAGGUCAGGACACAGGGUGUUCAAUAGAAAAUGAGGUCAGGAUACAGAGUGCUCGACACCAAAUGAGGUCAGCACACAGGAUGCUCCAG